GUCUAUGGUCAUGUCACCCUGAAUGAGUUGGAUCCCGUCUGAUCUCGGAAGCUAAGCAGGUUUGGGCCUGGUUAGUAUUUGGAUGGGAGACCACCUAGGAAGACCAUGUGCUGUAGGUG
rnacentral:rRNA from 1 species